rnacentral:rRNA from 1 species
UAACUGAAGAGUUUGAUCAUGGCUCAGAUUGAACGCUGGCGGCAGGCUUAACACAUGCAAGUCGAGCGGGGG